AGUGAACGCUGGCGGUAGGCCUAACACAUGCAAGUCGAACGGCAGCACAGUAAGAGCUUGCUCUUACGGGUGGCGAGUGGCGGACGGGUGAGGAAUACAUCGGAAUCUACUUUUUCGUGGGGGAUAACGUAGGGAAACUUACGCUAAUACCGCAUACGACCUACGGGUGAAAGCAGGGGAUCUUCGGACCUUGCGCGAUUGGAUGAGCCGAUGCCGGAUUAGCUAGUUGGCGGGGUAAAGGCCCACCAAGGCGACGAUCCGUAGCUGGUCUGAGAGGAUGAUCAGCCACACUGGAACUGAGACACGGUCCAGACUCCUACGGGAGGCAGCAGUGGGGAAUAUUGGACAAUGGGCGCAAGCCUGAUCCAGCCAUACCGCGUGGGUGAAGAAGGCCUUCGGGUUGUAAAGCCCUUUUGUUGGGAAAGAAAAGCAGCAGGUUAAUACCCCGCUGUUCUGACGGUACCCAAAGAAUAAGCACCGGCUAACUUCGUG
rnacentral:rRNA from 1 species